GGAGAGUUGUCCGAGCGGCCGAAGGUGACGGUCUUGAAAACCGUUGUGCGGUAACCCCGCACCAAGGGUUCGAAUCCCUUACUCUCCGCUA
rnacentral:tRNA from 1 species